ACCUAUGUGCUUGUACCUAUGUGCUUGUACCUAUGUGCUUGCUCAGCCAGUGGGAUGAAUGCACAUACUGUUACUAAAGGGCACAGUGAUGCUUUUGAAAAGUCUUGCUGUCUGUAAUUGAUGAGAAUUCCAAAGAAGGUGGGGGAACUAUUUCUUCUCAGCAACGAUUUUGAUAACUUAAACUCCCAACUCAUUUAUGGCAACAUACCACCAGCCUCCUACCUAAGUACUUGGAUAGCAUAAAAUAAACCUUGUUAGUUCAUCCAGAAGUAUAGACUGAGACAGAGUGCACCAUAUAUAUCUGUCUUUUAUGUCUGCAAGUUUCAAAUACAUGAAAACAAAAAGUGUUUGGGUGCUGAACCUGUGUGAUUUGAUCUGUUCUAUGAACGGCUGUCGCAGUGGUCUCAGUUGUAGAACAGACCUUGUGUCAGUAGUUUUUAAAGUAAACCUGAAGCUGGAUUCAGGUUGACAUAGACGAUAAGGAGAGGCUUUUUGGACUUUUUUUUUGGGGGGGGUGAGUUUCAAAACAGGAUUUCACUGUGUAACCCUGGCUGUCCUGUAUACUGGACUGGCCUCAAACUCACAGAGAUCCACUUGCCUCUGUCUUCUGAGUGCUGCAAUUAAAGAUGUGCUCCGAAAACUGCUGAACACUGGUUGCCCUUUAUUACUUAAAUGACACCCCCACCCACACACACACAAAUUCUUGUGAUUGAGAACUUGAAUAGCUGGCAAAAUGUACCAUAGUGCUUUGCAUAUUACCAUGCUUGGGAAAAAUUAAAAAUACCUGUUUAUUUUGUGAAGAGUGAUUUUCCUAAUCUUAAGAAGGAUCUACAAUUGGAUUCAGUUAGGUAACUCAUAUACCGCACCUAACACAAAAUGUGCACAAAUCAUUUUGUAGGGUGAUAACAUUGAUAAUGAUGAAGAUGAUGGUGAUGGUACUCAAGAGAAGCUCUAAGAAGCUACUUCCUGUGAUUCUAUAGUCUGCAAGUUCCAAUACGUACUGAUCAGGUGUAUGACAACUAUGCGUCAAAACGUUGAUCCUGAACUAACAGGAAAGAACAGGCUGUAUCAAUAAUUCUAGUAUUUGACCCUAAAUUGUUUUCCUAAUUUUGUCUACUAGUCUAGCAUUCAUUAAGAUGCAGCAAAAUGCCCAAAUGCCAGGCUGUGUGACCCUUGCUAAGUGCAUGAUACUUGGUAAGUUACAUUUGUCAUUUCGCUCAUAGACUAUACAAUGGCCCUUCUUAUGGUCUUGUGUCGCACUCCAAAGAAAUCUCAGUAACAUUUUCAGCUAUCUAAGAAAACAAUUCAAAUAAAAGUGCUUAAAGUAGUGACCAGCAAUGACAGGAAAUGCUGGUUACCCUCCUCUCCUUCAUAACUAAGCGAGGCCCCAGCUGGCUUUAAACUUCCUGUUUGAGGGCUGCUUGGGUCAAAAGUAGCUGUGUUUUCCAUAUAGAGUUUUUUUUCUUUAUUCUGUAAGGCCACAAUAAAUCUGUCACUGGACUGCAUAUUUUGUAUAUUUUAUGGACUGAAUCAUGUGGUUUGAGUUUAAUUUGGAAGGCAGUGCUUUUACAAUCAAGAUAUUUUUUUAACCCUGACAUGUGCAGCUUUGGGGUCUGGGAUUGCACUGGUCUCCAAGGUUUUAUGACUUUAUUUACACAAUAGUGAUUGCUGAGGAGGGCAUUUCCUGCUAGUUAAUGACUGGCUGGAAGGCCCAACAGUCCAAAUCCAGGGGGAGAGGUCCAUUCAUUACAUGCCAAGAAGGAGUCUGACCUCCUUUUUCAUCAACUGGUAGGGAGAAAGCAAAACUGCAUUCUACCUUUUGAAUUGCCCAGAACAUGGACAGCAGAGCUAGCUAUGGAGGUAGGGCCUCGUGGCAUGAAGAAUAGGGCUUCUUUUCCUGACAGGAGCAUGCCUUAGGUUGUCCAAUCAAACAGCUCUUGGACCAGGAAGGUAUUUCCUUUAGGUUGUCAGUGCAUAGAGAUUCAGUAAAGUUGUGGGCCGCUAACUGACCAUUAAUUAACUGCCUGAAAAUGCUCAGAUAGGAGGUGCUACAGCUCCUUUAAAAACCAGAACCACCACACAAUUGAGUUUCUUAAUUGGUUGAAUAACUGAUUAUGACUAAAGUAGACAAGAAACAACUUAGAAAGGGAUCGCAAGAAUGGCUGCAUUCAAGGUCACACUUGAAAGGUACCAGUAGGUACACACUCUUUGUGCUUAACUCCUGAUAUAAUAGAGGGAAAUACUAUUAAUAAAGCCCACCUUAACAUUUGUAGAAGUACCUUGUGGGGGGGCUGGAAUAGUAACCAUUUAACCCAUAACAUCUCUGGGAAACAGUUUUGGUCUUCUGUAAUCUUGCCUGCUGUAAAUCAGCUGAAGUGUGAAGAACUUGGCAUUGAUUUAGAACAAAAACAGAAUUAAGAUCAAGGCUGAGUUCACAUCUAGGAAUCCCUGACUUCCUGGCUUGUCCUUCAGUCCCCUUAGCUUGUUAAACCUACAAUUUGCCGACUAGUUCGCUGUUUGUAAAAGAUAAACAUCUGUUCAGGGUUCUUUUAGUAGGUACAUCCAUAUGAAAGCAGUUGUGUGACACACAACUUCCCUUGCUCCUUUACUUGAAAUUAAAGUUCUUUUCUGUCUUCCAAGCUUGGCAGGGGGUAGAAGGACUGAGCUGGAGUUUUCAAAUACAGGCAAUCACUGAAAGCCAGACACCUGGAUUUCUUCACUGGAUUGAGUAAUCUGUCACAUGCAGAGCAAACCAAAUAUUAAGUUUCAGUUUUGAGUCUGGCAAAUGUCAUAUACUUUUAAAAUAUUCAGUAAUCUGGGGAUUGCUGGUCAUUACCAGUUCGCAAAAUGAAAAGGGUUUUGAAGUUUUGAAUGCUUUACAAAUAAACUGUAUACCCAUUAUAGUUGUUAUUAGUAAAGGGUUCCUUCAGCAGAUUUUUCAACAGAAAAGUGAAUGAUGAAAUAAAAAGAGGUCAAAACAUGAUUUUUUUAAAAAAAACUUGAAUUUAAAUGUUAUAAGUCACUAAAGUUUUACUGGAUUGGAUUAAUGACAGUAUUCUUACUUACAAACUGUUUUGGGCUAAGAGCCAACAAAGUUUUCUCAAUUAGGUAUCCUAUUGGCCUGAAUAUUAUAUUCAGGCAUAUUAACAACAUGGCUGCAUUUAAACAACAAUCCCAAAACCUUAGAGGCAGCUUGCUCCACAAAUUUAAUUAUGCCUUUCAUUUUUCUUGACAUUAUUAUUUUGCUUAGCAAACUCCUGCUGUACAGUUAAUCUAAAAGUAUAAUAACUUAAGGUUUGAAUAUUUCAGUCUGAAUCACUGGUGUCAAAAGGUGAAUAUGGGUAUUCUCUGUUGUAUAUGGGUGAAUAUGGGUAUUCUCUGCUGUAUAUGGGUGAAUAUGGGUAUUCUCUGCUGUAUAUGGGUGAAUAUGGGUAUUCUCUGCUGUAUAUGGGUGUAGUAAUAUUUUCUUCUUCUGUUUGCCUAUUUGUUUUAUCUGUGUAGUUUUCAUGUGUCAGGAAGUGACUGGGCAGCAUGCAAUGAGAUGCAGGUAGUCAGUUGCAGUUAGCAUCUCUUCAGAACAAAACUGAAUAUAAUGGAUGAUAAAAUAUCAGAACAUAUUAUCUAAUCACAUAAGCCAUUUGGGGUUAGGCUUACUUCAAAUUCACGCACAUGUGUAUUAAGUUAGAAUACAAUGUGCAUUUAUUACUAUCUGUUGCUAUCAACAAAAAGUUUACAAGUCGGUGUUUUAGGAUAUGGUAAUUCUAACUAGGUCAGAAUAUUUUUUUUCCUUUUUGAAUAUUUGAGAGGACAGUGAUCCAGGGAUCCUGGAGCCUUCGGUGCCCAAAUACUAAGUGAUGUUGGUGAAGUGCCUGUUUCCAAAUAUCUAAGAUAUUCAUGGGAAUGAUCACUCAAAAGAACAAAAGCAAAGACAAUACCCAUGUCGUCUUUCCAGUAAUUAAACCCAGGAAU
rnacentral:lncRNA from 1 species